AUCCUAUACAGAUGUAUUCAACGCAAGAUAGUUGAGCAUCUCCCUUUAGGAUGAAGUUUAAUAGAAGUCCUAACAACAAUUCUUAUUGUGUGGCUUUAUAGUCGAAAUGGGAUGAGCUAGGAUGGAAUAGGUUAACCGUAAGACCUUGAGUUGCAAAACUCUAAAAUUGAGCUAGAGAUGUGGGUUUCUUAAUUUUCGCAGUUUCUAGUUACGGGAUA
rnacentral:sRNA from 12 species